rnacentral:rRNA from 1 species
GAUGAACGCUGGCGGCGUGCCUAAUACAUGCAAGUCGAGCGAACAGAUAAGGAGCUUGCUCCUUUGACGUUAGCGGCGGACGGGUGAGUAACACGUGGGUAACCUACCUAUAAGACUGGGAUAACUUCGGGAAACCGGAGCUAAUACCGGAUAAUAUUUCGAACCGCAUGGUUCGAUAGUGAAAGAUGGUUUUGCUAUCACUUAUAGAUGGACCCGCGCCGUAUUAGCUAGUUGGUAAGGUAACGGCUUACCAAGGCGACGAUACGUAGCCGACCUGAGAGGGUGAUCGGCCACACUGGAACUGAGACGCGGUCCAGACUCCUACGGGAGGCAGCAGUAGGGAAUCUUCCGCAAUGGGCGAAAGCCUGACGGAGCAACGCCGCGUGAGUGAUGAAGGUCUUCGGAUCGUAAAACUCUGUUAUUAGGGAAGAACAUACGUGUAAGUAACUGUGCACGUCUUGACGGUACCUAAUCAGAAAGCCACGGCUAACUACGUG